AUUGAACGCUGGCGGCAGGCUUAACACAUGCAAGUCGAGCGAGCGGCGGACGGGUGAGUAAUGUCUGGGAAACUGCCUGAUGGAGGGGGAUAACUACUGGAAACGGUAGCUAAUACCGCAUACCAUCAGAUGUGCCCAGAUGGGAUUAUCUAGUCGGUGGGGUAAUGGCUCACCUAGGCGACGAUCCAUAGCUGGUCUGAGAGGAUGAACAGACACUCUGGAACUGACACACGGGUCAGAAACCUACGGGAUGCAGCAGUGGGAAGAUGGCACAAUGGGAGCAAGACUAAUGCAGCCAGGCCGAGUGUGUGAAGAAGGCCUUCGGGUUGUAAAGCACUUUCAGCGAGGAGGCGUUACCGACAGAAGAAGCACCGGCUAACUCCGUGCCAGCAGCCGCGGUAAUAC
rnacentral:rRNA from 1 species